AAUAAUUUUGCAUAAACAUUUGCGGUAGCUGUUUAUUUCUCUAUCGAUUCCUCUAAUUAUGUAUGUGGGACACACAAUAUCUCUUUUUCUAAAUUUGUAAGUAAAGACAUAUUCUAGUUUCGUUCAUAAUAAGUAAAUUUUCUUCUGAUUUCUCUUUUGAUUUCUGUUUUUUCAUUAACUUUUUUUGCUUUGUUCAUUUUGAAAUCAAAUCGUCUUCUACGCCUUUCCAGUUCUCAGAACCAAAUCAGCUUUGUCUUCUUCUCUCCUGUGACUCACUCUUUUGAUCUUAAGGGAACGCAAAAAAAGAAAAGAAAGAAAAACGACUCCAGCUCUUCCUUGGUGACACAAUCUUGAUUAAGUGCUUUGAGGUUUUGGACUUGGUCUGGGUGGCUCUGUGAUUUUUGAAUUAGGCUUGGCGGCUUUAACACUUUUGGAAUUUAGCCUUGGAAGCCUUGAGAAUUUGGGUUCAUCAUCAGCUCUACCAACUACAACAAGGGACCCAAUUUUGUUGGUUCAUGGAUCGUCAUUGGAUAAAUAUACCAAAUAAACUUUCAGCAGAAUAUGCUGCUGGAAUGAAUGAAUUCAUUAGUGUUGCAAGACACUCCAUGGACUCCAAUGGGAUGGUUCUAUGCCCUUGUUGUCGAUGCGUGAAUAAGAAAUCACAAUACAUGCAUGUGAUAAAGUUUCACUUGAUCACUCAUGGAUUUCUUAGUACU